UGCUUUGAGAGUCGAAUCAUAAUUUCAUCAACACCUUGAAUCUCUACAUUUAAUUCUUAUCAAAGUGUGAGACAGAAAGCAGAGGAGGAGAUGAUAGCAAUUACAAAUACGAAAUUCAAGCAGGAAACAUCAAGAAAUUAUGCUAGUAAAAACGCCCGGUUAACCUUAGAAAGCAGAAAGCCAUUUUAGCUGCGUGACAAGGAGCUCUGCUUCUCAACAACUUGAACUGGUCCUUUUGUAGCCAUUUUAGACACAUCUUCACAUCAUUUUGGUGAGAAUUAUUCUUCUUCCUCCCCUUCUAUGACUAUGGUCUAUGGGCACGUAUAGAAAACUAGUGAAUAUCUCUCCACAGGGGGGUGCUGGAGGAUGUGAAGUAUCUAGAAAAUAUUCCUUUCAAAUUGUUGACAAGUGAAGCUGAGUGCUGGCUGCAUCGUGAUGUAGAGUCUCUGGAGUCCAACCUCCUGCAUCUUACAUCCAUCUCAAUAAAAAAUAAAGGGAAGCUUUCAAGAUUUUGCAUACUGAAACUGCCAAGAUC
rnacentral:misc_RNA from 1 species